UAUACAUGCAGUCGAACGAACUCUGGUAUUGAUUGGUGCUUGCAUCAUGAUUUACAUUUGAGUGAGUGGCGAACUGGUGAGUAACACGUGGGAAACCUGCCCAGAAGCGGGGGAUAACACCUGGAAACAGAUGCUAAUACCGCAUAACAACUUGGACCGCAUGGUCCGAGUUUGAAAGAUGGCUUCGGCUAUCACUUUUGGAUGGUCCCGCGGCGUAUUAGCUAGAUGGUGAGGUAACGGCUCACCAUGGCAAUGAUACGUAGCCGACCUGAGAGGGUAAUCGGCCACAUUGGGACUGAGACACGGCCCAAACUCCUACGGGAGGCAGCAGUAGGGAAUCUUCCACAAUGGACGAAAGUCUGAUGGAGCAACGCCGCGUGAGUGAAGAAGGGUUUCGGCUCGUAAAACUCUGUUGUUAAAGAAGAACAUAUCUGAGAGUAACUGUUCAGGUAUUGACGGUAUUUAACCAGAAAGCCACGGCUAACUACGUGCCAGCAGCCGCGGUAAUACGUAGGUGGCAAGCGUUGUCCGGAUUUAUUGGGCGUAAAGCAGCGCAGGCGGUUUUUUAAGUCUGAUGUGAAAGCCUUCGGCUCAACCGAAGAAGUGCAUCGGAAACUGGGAAACUUGAGUGCAGAAGAGGACAGUGGAACUCCAUGUGUAGCGGUGAAAUGCGUAGAUAUAUGGAAGAACACCAGUGGCGAAGGCGGCUGUCUGGUCUGUAACUGACGCUGAGGCUCGAAAGUAUGGGUAGCAAACAGGAUUAGAUACCCUGGUAGUCCAUACCGUAAACGAUGAAUGCUAAGUGUUGGAGGGUUUCCGCCCUUCAGUGCUGCAGCUAACGCAUUAAGCAUUCCGCCUGGGGAGUACGGCCGCAAGGCUGAAACUCAAAGGAAUUGACGGGGGCCCGCACAAGCGGUGGAGCAUGUGGUUUAAUUCGAAGCUACGCGAAGAACCUUACCAGGUCUUGACAUACUAUGCAAAUCUAAGAGAUUAGACGUUCCCUUCGGGGACAUGGAUACAGGUGGGUGCAUGGUUGUCGUCAGCUCGUGUCGUGAAAUGUUUGGGUUAAGUCCCGCAACGAGCGCAACCCUUAUUAUCAGUUGCCAGCAUUAAGUUGGGCACUCUUGGUGAGACUGCCGGUGACAAACCGGAAGAAAAGGUGGGGGAUGAACGUCAAAUCAUCCAGGCCCCUUUAUGACCUGGGGCUACACACCUGGCUUACAAUGGGAUG
rnacentral:rRNA from 2 species